rnacentral:tRNA from 1 species
GCCCGGGUAGUUUAAAGGUAAAACCUUAAUUUCAUACGUUAAAGAUGAGAAUUCC